UGCCUCUCUUUGGGCUUGCAAGAAGUCAUC
rnacentral:piRNA from 1 species